rnacentral:misc_RNA from 1 species
GUUUUUAACAUUAAUCAAUUAAGUUUAUGAAUGUUUCAGUAUAAAUACCUUAAAGAUUUAUUUUUAAUAAUAUAAAAAAAUUAGGAAUUAAAAAAUUUUGCAUUAAUUACUUAUUUUUUAUAAGUAUUAUUAACGUUAAAACUAUCAUUAACAAAUUCAUUGUGUUUUAAUGCUCGAGCAAAUAAUACAGAAAAUUCACAACGUAGAUGUGUAGCCGAGAAUUGGUAGGUUGAAGAUGUUUAUGUUCUUCCAAUAGAUCAUUUUCUUGAACUCAUUGAAUCAAUUCAAAGAAAAGGGAUGAUAAGAUCACAACUUGUUGAUCAUGCAUAGCUCACUAGACAGCAAAAUGGCUUUCUCAAAUUCCUUCUGGAUCGCAUAAUUUGCCAAAACAUCCUACGCACCAGUUACUAAGAGUUACAACAUAAAGUUUGAUCAAUGUACUUCCUGAGGAGAAAAACUCAGUUUCCUGUAAUGUUUUGCUUCACCCUCUCAAGUUGGGAAUGGUGAUGAGAAUUAAGUUUGAACUGUUAAAUAAGCUGGAACAAAGAAUAGCACUUAUGUUGGAGCAAUGUUCUACUUUAGAUCUCUUAGUCAGGAAUUACAACAAUACUGAUACUGUUUAUGAUGUGAGAAUUAUUAUAAGAUUGGUGAGCUAAUGGAGGAUAAGGGUAAGUAAGGGUUACCUUAUCCUCUCUUGUCCCUCAAAUCUCAAUUUUUCUUA